UACGGAGGGGGCUAGCGUUGUUCGGAAUUACUGGGCGUAAAGCGCACGUAGGCGGCUUUGUAAGUUAGAGGUGAAAGCCCGGGGCUCAACUCCGGAAUUGCCUUUAAGACUGCAUCGCUCGAAUUGUGGAGAGGUAAGUGGAAUUCCGAGUGUAGAGGUGAAAUUCGUAGAUAUUGGGAAGAACACCGGUGGCGAAGGCGGCGACCUGGUCCUUGACUGACGCUGAGGCGCGAAAGCGUGGGGAGCAAACAGG
rnacentral:rRNA from 1 species